AUGGUGAACAAGGUCGCCGACGAGCCACAGCUGCUGUCCAAGAAGGCCGGAUGCAACACCCACGGCCAGGACUCGUCCUACUUCCUGGGGUGGGAGGAGUAUGAGAAAAACCCCUACCACCCCACCACCAACCCCGGCGGCAUCAUCCAGAUGGGCCUCGCCGAGAACCAGCUGUCGUUCGACCUGGUGGAGGAGUGGCUGGAGAAGAACCCCAACGCGCUCGGGCUGCGCCGGGGAGCCGCGUCCGUCUUCCGCGAGCUCGCGCUCUUCCAGGACUACCACGGCCUCCCGGCCUUCAAAAAUGCAUUGGCGCGGUUCAUGUCAGAGCAGAGAGACUUCAGGGUGGCGUUCGACCCCAGCAACAUCGUGCUCACCGCCGGCGCCACCUCGGCCAACGAGGCGCUCAUGUUCUGCCUCGCCGACCAGGGCGACGCAUUCCUCAUCCCCACCCCGUACUACCCAGGGUUCGACCGUGACCUCAAGUGGCGCACCGGGGCCGAGAUCGUGCCGGUGCACUGCACGAGCGCCAACGGCUUCCGGGUGACGCGCUCCGCCCUGGACGACGCGUACCGCCGCGCCCAGAAGCGCCGCCUGCGCAUCAAGGGCGUGCUCAUCACCAACCCCUCCAACCCGCUCGGCACCGCCGUCCCGCGCGCCGACCUCGAGAUGAUCGUCGACUUCGUCGCCGCCAAGGGCAUCCACCUCGUCAGCGACGAGAUAUACUCCGGCACGGCAUUCUCGGAGCCGGGCUUCGUCAGCGUCCUGGAGGUCCUGGCCGCGCGCGCCCCGCUCGCCGCCGACUACGCGCUGGACGACCGCGUCCACGUCGUGUACAGCCUCUCCAAGGACCUCGGCCUCCCGGGCUUCCGCGUCGGCGCCAUCUACUCCUCCAACGCCGCCGUCGUCUCGGCGGCGACCAAGAUGUCCAGCUUCGGGCUCGUCUCCUCCCAGACGCAGUACCUCCUCGCGGCCCUCCUCGGGGACAAGGACUUCACCCGCAGGUACCUCGCCGAGAACAAGAGGCGGAUCAAGGAGCGGCACGACCAGCUGGUGGACGGCCUCAAGGAGAUCGGCAUUGCGUGCCUGGAGAGCAACGCGGGGCUCUUCUGCUGGGUGAACAUGAGCCACCUGAUGCACGCCCGGUCGUUCGAGGGGGAGAUGACGCUGUGGAAGAAGGUGGUGUUCGACGUCGGGCUCAACAUCUCGCCGGGGUCGUCGUGCCACUGCAGCGAGCCCGGGUGGUUCCGCGUCUGCUUCGCCAACAUGUCCGCCAAGACGCUCGACGUCGCCAUGCAGCGCCUGGGGGGGUUCGUCCAGACCAGCAGCUGCAAGGCCGCACCCGCCGCACUGCGCCGCGCCGCCGGCCCCGCCAGGAGCAUGAGCUGCCCGCUCGCCAUGAACAUGAAGUGGGCGCUCCGGCUCACCCCGGGCUUCGCCGACAGGAAGGCCGAGCGGUAG
rnacentral:rRNA from 1 species